rnacentral:rRNA from 1 species
UAAGGAUAGGCGGUGGGGAUGCUAACCGAGUCAUAAUCAAGCUUAGGCUUGGUAUCCUAUUAUUAUUUACCAAAAGAAUUCAGAAUUAAUAUUGUAACAUAGACCUAAAAAAUCUAUAAAACAACUUUUAACAACGGAUCUCUUGGUUCUCGCAUCGAUGAAGAACGUAGCAAAGUGCGAUAACUAAUGUGAAUUGCAUAUUCAGUGAAUCAUCGAGUCUUUGAACGCAACUUGCGCUCAUUGGUAUUCCAAUGAGCACGCCUGUUUCAGUAUCAAAACAAACCCUCUAUCCAACAUUUUGUUGAAUAGGAAUACUGAGAGUCUCUUGAUCUAUUCUGAUCUCGAACCUCUUGAAAUGUACAAAGGCCUGAUCUUGUUUGAAUGCCUGAACUUUUUUUUAAUAUAAAGAGAAGCUCUUGCGGUAAACUGUGCUGGGGCCUCCCAAAUAAUACUUUUUUUAAAUUUGAUCUGAAAUCAGGCGGGAUUACCCGCUGAACUUAAGCAU